rnacentral:rRNA from 1 species
AUACGGAGGGUCCAAGCGUUAUCCGGAUUCAUUGGGUUUAAAGGGUCCGCAGGCGGGAAAAUAAGUCAGUGGUGAAAGCCUACAGCUCAACUGUAGAACUGCCAUUGAUACUGUUUUUCUUGAGUAUAGAUGAAGUGGGCGGAAUAUAUCAUGUAGCGGUGAAAUGCAUAGAUAUGAUAUAGAACACCGAUUGCGAAGGCAGCUCACUAAACUAUUACUGACGCUCGGGGACGAAAGCGUGGGGAGCGAACAGGAUUAGAAACCCUAGUAGUCC